GCUGCUGUGCUGUUUAGGCCUGCGCAUCACGGACAGGUGGGUGUGGGCAAGGACCGUAGAGUCAGCCCAGACCCCCACGCAGGUUGAGGCCUUUGGAGGGGACGUCAGGGAGAACUUAACGUGCAAAAAGAGUAACAUCAGGAAGGCCUCGCUGACCCCAUUCUGCCCCAUCCCUGCGGUUCCCUCCCUGCCUGACCCGAGCAAGUCUCUUUGGUCAUCCUGGGGCUCAGUUGCAUUUUCCUAAGGAGAGGGUUGCUUCCCCAUGGUCUCUCAAACCCUUUUUCCAUUUCCAAAGACUCCAUGCCUCCAGAAAAGGAGGGCCCAGCAUAACCACAGGACAGGUGGUUGCAAACAGUGAGGGAAGAAGCUGACAAUGACUGCUGGGUUAUUUCAAUGGGCACCAGAGCACCAUUUCCUGCAGCCCACAGGGAAGACAGAAUAAUUGGUUGGCAGCAAGAGCUUAGUGUGGAAAUUCAGGGGAGCCUAAGGAUUCCUCAGGAAGGACUCCUCUGGCACUAGCGCUUCAUUGUCUGCUCCACUGGGAAGUAAUCAGCUUCCAGAAAGUUUGAGAGAUUGCAUUUCAGCAAGAGGGCCUCCUCAAAUCAGUUUAGAGGGAUGGUCUGUAGCCAAACAGGAACCUGAAGAAGAGGUAGUGAUGGUGGUAGUCCAAAGGAGGAGCUUUACCCUGUGCUGUACCCACAGGAGACAAACAACAUCUUUGCCCUUGCUGGAGGGAAUGUUAGCGCGGCCUAGAUGCUUUCUCAGUCACCUCCUAGGUACAGGUUUAUUCUCCAGGCCUACUACAGCUUGGUCCCCCCACCUUUAGCCCCCAAACCCUCAGUGAUUACUUCCACUACCCCCUGUGCCCCCAUGGCAGGUCCCUACAGAAGCAAAACAUAGUCACCUUAGACUCUGGCUUACUGAGACGAGGCCCUGAUAUUAUCAGCCUCGCCUGCCCACCAGUGUACUAUUUAAUAAAAAUAUUGUUAAAGAACAUU